GCGGUCGGCGCCUCACAGUUCUAAAGGGUUGGCCACAUCCCUGACUAAUUGUGGCAAAAACAAACGACGGAUGGAAGAGGAAGAAUUGUCUUCAAAUUGUCAAAAAUCAGAGAAUUGCGAUAAUGUUUGAAAACAUAUACGUGAAACGGCGAAUGCAUGGUUUUAGAAGUGCUUUACGUUGUGAAUUGGUCCAAGGAAAACGCUUAAAAAAGAAAGGUUUGUCCGACGACAUCUUGUGCUGCGACUAAACAUGGUUUAGUGCACACGCCCAAAUACAGUGCGCGAUCAGACGAUCCCACUAACAGCCACUAUCCCCUCGGAUAGCAAAAAUAAAUGGCUUUCCCGGUCAAUACCGGGGAAAGUUGGAAUUUGCCAAUCCAAGAAUGUGAUUCCCCACAUCAUCCUAUGACGACGAAGCGCCACGUUCUUCGUCAUGGGUGUGGUGAUGAUCAAAAACCCAAAACAAGCAAAAAAUACAAAAAAAAAUAAACAAAACCGAACUGUGAGGUCGGAGGAACUGAGGAAUGCAUGCCUCGCUCCUCUUUGAUCGCUUUUUGCCCUUUUACUACAAGAACUACGCAUAAGGAAGGAAAGCUACACUCAUUCAC
rnacentral:lncRNA from 1 species